UACGGAGGGUGCAAGCGUUAAUCGGAAUUACUGGGCGUAAAGCGCGCGUAGGUGGUUUGGUAAGUCGAGAUGUGAAAGCCCCCGGCGUUAACCUCGGGAACGGCGAUUUCGUAACUGUCAGACUAGAGUGUGGUAGAGGGUAGGUGGAAGUUUCCUUGUGUAGACGGUGGAAAUAGCGUAGAUAUAGGAAGGAACACCAGUGGCGAAGGCGGCUACCUGGACCAACACUGACACUGAGGUGCGAAAGCGUGGGGAGCAAAACAGGAUUAGAUACCCCCGUACGU
rnacentral:rRNA from 1 species